rnacentral:ncRNA from 2 species
UGUUCACGCUGGGGGUGCGGACGGUCCGCACGAUCGCUUCGCUGAGAUCACACCCCUUGAACCUGAUCCGGUUCGUACCGGCGAGAGGGAAGCCAAAGGAGUCACUA